GCUGUUCCUAUUCGGACAUCUUGGCUCCUCCCGUGCUUUCUACAUCCCACAUGGAAGCAGCAAUGAGAUGUUUUAAAACGAGAUGUUUCAAAAUCACCAUCUCACUCUAGUUUGUCUACAAAGCCAUCUAUCAAGAACAUUAUAUGAACUUUUAAAUACAUUCUUCUGUAUUUAUAGAAUGAUUUUUAAAGCAUUUCCAGCCAUGUUUAAAAGCUGUGAAUAGUCUUUUUUUUGUAACCUAGUAACCAAAGUUAUUAAUGAAAGUCACAGUUAAACUUUUUUCCUUUGAAAAUAAAAUGAAUCAACACAUAACGAGAA
rnacentral:lncRNA from 1 species